AGACCCGAAACCCGGUGAUCUAGCCAUGGGCAGGUUGAAGGUUGGGUAACACUAACUGGAGGACCGAACCGACUAAUGUUGAAAAAUUAGCGGAUGACCUGUGGCUGGGGGUGAAAGGCCAAUCAAACCGGGAGAUAGCUGGUUCUCCCCGAAAGCUAUUUAGGUAGCGCCUCGUGAAUUCAUCUCCGGGGGUAGAGCACUGUUUCGGCUAGGGGGCCAUCCCGGCUUACCAACCCGAUGCAAACUGCGAAUACCGGAGAAUGUUAUCACGGGAGACACACGGCGGGUGCUAACGUCCGUCGUGAAGAGGGAAACAACCCAGACCGCCAGCUAAGGUCCCAAAGUCAUGGUUAAGUGGGAAACGAUGUGGGAAGGCCCAGACAGCCAGGAUGUUGGCUUAGAAGCAGCCAUCAUUUAAAGAAAGCGUAAUAGCUCACUGGUCGAGUCGGCCUGCGCGGAAGAUGUAACGGGGCUAAACCAUGCACCGAA
rnacentral:rRNA from 4 species